NNNNNNNNNNNNNNNNNNNNNNNNNNNNNNNNNNNNNNNNNNNNNNNNNNNNNAUAUAUAUAUAAAUAGUAUAUAUAUAUAUAUAUAUAUUUUAAAAUAUAUAUAAAUAGUAUAUGUGUGGAAUCACUUUUUUUUAAAUACAAUUUCUUAAGUGACAAUGACAUGGCACUGGUGUGACACUGAUUUGGUAAUGACAUGGCACGUGUGUAGUGCACUCUCCGUUGUGAGAGUGGGAUUUUGAUUUUGAGGUUGAAUUUAAUAAUUUGGAAGUUGUUAAGGGGGUAAAUAAUUGUCCGAUCAGUUUAGGAUUUAAAGUAAGUUUUGCUGACAAGUUGAGGGGCGUUUGAUGUCUUUUCUCUCUCUCUCUCAAGAGUCAACUGAAGUUGUUGAGAAAAAUAAUGAAUUACAUGAGCUGAUCUACUUUCUUGCUGAAUCAAAACUUUAAAGCCACUUGGAUGCUCUUGCAUAUUGCUUGCUCCAUCAUAGCAUUUUUCUCGUAUAUAAGAUAAACUCAAAGAAUGUUGAAUAAGAUAGUUAACAACUAUUUCUUUUAAAUAUACAAUACUGGUAUCAUGAACAUAGACAAUCCCUAUAAAUCGUUCCACAACAGAUCCCCCACCAUCAACAUAUCGCAAAACAAUUGUUAUUUUCUCCUUAUGUGACACAUCACAAGAUUCAUCUACUGGCAAUGAGAAAUAAUCACAAUUUAGAUUCUCCAUAAUAACUUUAAUUGUUUCAAGUUUACAUGCAGUGAAAAAAUCUUUUUGAAUUUUAUGAGAAGUCAAUUGAUUAUUUUUUAGAGUCUUUUUCAACAUAAGAUCUCUAAUUCUAUCACAACGACUUGCAUACCAUCAAUGAAUUUCAAGAAAGUUACCCAUAUUCAAUGAUGAUUCAUCUUCACGAUGUCUGCGGAAUGCCAAUCGUUGAUUCAAAAGGAGUCUUACCACAUCAACAGAAGCUUGUAAAUGAAUUUUAUAUUCAAGUUUGGUUUGAUUGGAUGGAUUCACAAAUGCGACUUGAAUUGAUUGUUCUUGUCGCAUUAGAUCUUCACACUUUUUCUUUGCCUAAUUGUGAUCACUGUUCGGACCUCCAACAUGCAUAUCUAAUCUUUUCUUUUUGUACCAACUUCUGAAUCCUAUACUUGAAAAAUGCUUCACCUCCACCUUGAUGAAUGCUUUCAUCUUAAAAUAAAUAACAACAUAAAUAAUAAGCGACAUCUUCAAUUUCACUAUACUCCAACUAAUCAUGAUAUAUUUUAUACCAUUUACGAUUAAAACAACAUUUUAGUCCAGAAAUAUCUCUUCGCGGAAACUCGCGAACUCGAGGUUGAUGAGGACCUCUUUGAAUAUAUGCUUGCCUAAUCUCAUCACAAUCAUUCGAAUGAUAUUCCCAAAUAGAUUUUCUUUCUUUUGGAUCUGUCGGUAAAGAAUUCAAGUUUACUCUUUGCUUUUGUUUUAUAGAAGAAUGAUGAUUUUCUUCUAAUUGACUCAAUUUCUCUUUCAUGCGAGGAGUAUUUUGAGUGUAUGAACUUGAUCAUGCCAACUUUUAUGAUACCGGAGUGAAAUAUCUCUUCAUUGAAUUUAGAACCUGUAUUGCCGAAUCAAAUAUCUAAUUAGAAAAGUAAGAGUUAUUUUACGUAUUUGAAUUUUGAAAAUUUAUAAAAAAAAGUAACUAAAAUUGAAGAGAAAAUUAAUUGUGAUUUUCUUCAAUUUUAAGUAGAAAGAUUUUUUUUAAGUUGAGAAAAUAAAAAAAAAUGCAAUAAUUUUAUAUCUAUAAAAAAUUAAAAGUAGAGAAUAAAGAGCAAAGAACAAACUUGCUAAAUUUCUUGAUUGAUGUGAAAUUUACUUUUUUUCUUGGAGGCUAUAGAAUUUUUUUAAUCUUCUUUGUACAGAAUGAGGAACAAGGGGGAAUUAAGGAUUGAAGAAUUAGCAUAUUUUUAGGAAUAACGUUGAACAGUAAACUUCUUUUACCUAAAAAAACGUGGCUAGUUUUACCUUUUUUUUUCUCCACUAAGGCUGCUGCUUAAGAGUUUUAAUAAAAUAAUUGCUGCUAUAGGGGUUCGACCUCGCAACGUGUGUCUCAAGAAUUGAGCCCGCUUCCACUGGACUAGCCACUUCACUUGUUCAAAGUGGGUUCAAAAUUAAAUAUAUACUUUUAUACUUAUACAGACUAAUUAUAUAUAUAUACAUAUAUACGGUGUCAUUUUUCGAUGAAGUAGGUUCAUAUAAACCCACUUGAUCCUAAGUGGGUCCACAUCUGAGUUGUUUUAUCUGCUGAAGAAUCUUCAUCUGACUUAAUGUAUUUAACAUGAUUAUCAAACUGCUUGGAAGUUAGUUUAAUGUUGUAGUCCAUGGGUGUAGAGGCAGAUUUAGCAAUUGUUUAGAUAACAACUUUAAUGCAUACUUUCUCUAAACUCAGAUCUUGCAAAUUCAAUAUCAAGGAAAAACCUUAACUCUCUCAGAUCUUUCAUCUUGAAGCUUUGUUGCAGAUUUAUCUUUGCGUCUUCUAUCAACUUAAGACUGUCAGCAAUAAUUAACAUGUCAUCAACAUAAACUAGUACAAGAGUAACUCCUUUGUUGUUUUCUUAAUGUACAGUGAUGGAUCAUACUGAACCUGGUUAAAUUCAUACUUAAGUAAGGAUUUUGAUGACUUGUUAUUUCACUGUUUAGGGGCUUGCUUUAGUUCAUGUAGAAGUUUGAGUAGUAUUCGCACUACAUUUUUCCCAUGACUAGCAAAUUCCUGAGGAAAUUCCAUGUACACCUCAUCAGUUAGAUCAUCAUUUAAGAAAGCAUAAUAUACAUUCAUUUGUUGAACAACCCAUUUUUUUCUAACCGUAAUAGCCAGUACUGUCCUAACAAUCUUUGAUUUUUACAACCAGAGAGAUGGUUUCCUUGUAAUCAAUUUCUUCUCUUUAACCAUGUCUUUUCUCCACAAGUCUAGCUUUAAAUCUUUUCAAUUUAUCAUUGGAUCUGUACUUAAUUUUGGAUAUCCGUCUACAGCCUAUUGGCUUCUUACCUUUAGGUAAAAGAAUUAUAUCCAGGGAGUGAUUAGAACUAAGAGCUGAUAUUUUCUCCUUCCUAGCUUCUACCCACAUUGAAUCCUUACAUGGUUCAUAAGAACUUGUAGAUUUAACAACAAAGGAGGAAUUUACAACAUAGGAUUUAUAUUGAGAAGAUAGUUUUUCAUAAGUAACAUAAUUUGCUAGAUCAUAAGAUACCUUCUUGGUCUUUCCAAUAGUGAUAAAAUAGUCAUCCACAGAGGUGAUUUUUUCUCUUUGGAUGAUGUCCUCUGAUCUUGACAUGCAGGUGUCUGAGUGUCUGGCCUCUCAGCUAUAGAACCCUCUGGUUAUAACUCUUAUUGUUGCUCCAACACUUGAGGUGUACUUAUAGACUGAGUGUUAUGCAUGUAAACUUCAAUUACAACUUUAUCAGGCACAUGUGUUUUCAACGAAAACACAUGAUAAGAUGUUUGUGUCUGAUUUAGCUUGAAGGGAAACACAUCCUUCCUGAAUAAAAUAUCUCUACAUAGAGAAAAUCUGCUAGAUAUGUCAUAAAGAACAUAUCCCUUUUAUGUGUGAAAGUAUCCCAUCAAUACAAUAUUUCUAGCUCUAGGCUUAAGUUUGUCAUGUUCAUUAAGCAUUUUGCAAUAGCAUAGACACCUUAGUACUCUUAAGUGAUUAUAGCUUGCUUCCUUACUAUAUAAUCUCUAAUAAGAAACCGAAUAAGGAAAAACUGAACUAGAAAACCUGUUAAUAAUGUGUACUACAAAUAAAACACAAUAUUCCCAAUGAUGUAUGGGAAUACUAAAUUAAAACAUAACAACUUCUGUGACUUCUAAUAUAUGCUUAAGCUUCCUAUCAUCAACACCAUUUUGCUGAGAUGUAUGGGCACAGGUUGUUUGGUGUACAAUGCCAUUAGUACUAAACACAAAGAGUUUAAAAACUCAGUUUCAUUAUCACUUCAUACUACUUUAACAACUUUGUCAAACUAUUUUUUAACAUAAGUACGAAAAUAUUGAAUCUGAAAAUAAACAUCAGUCUUAAGUUUAAGCAGAAUUAUCCAAGUGAAUUUUGAGAAAUCAUUCACAACGAUCAAAAAAUAUUUAUUGUUAUUCAUAGUUGCAUCUUAUAAGGACCCCAUAUAUCCAUGUGCACAAGAUUAAAAUGGCAUGUACUUUGAAUACUGCUUGAAAGAAAUAAAGAUCUAGUUUAUUUUGCACAAGGACCUAUAGUACAUUGUCUUACUCUAUCUUCUAUAAUCUGAACAUCAGUAAUAACUAUUUUUCUUAAGAGCAUGUGCAGACAUACGUCGUAAUCAUGUAUUCCAAAGAUCUAUGUCAUCAUUACUUCUUCUCAACACACCAUCACUUAUCACUUUAUUAGUUGUUGGCUUUGAAACCUUAUUGUUUUGUUAUCCAACCAGUAGAUAUAAUACUCCAUCAGGCUUACCAAUUUCUCUAUCCUUUUCAAUGUAAAGAUUCUAGGAAGCACAUAAAUUAAAAAAAAAUUACAGAAUAUUUGCAUUCUUUGGUCACCUGAGAAACUGACAACAAAUUAUAUUGAAACUCUGGUAUGCUGUAUACAUUAGUUGUCAUAUUUCCUUUUGAUAAACAACUACUCCCCACAUAUGUUACUUAAGUAAUACUACCACUUGGUAAAUACAUCUCUCUUGGUGUUUGUAGCUUUGUUAUAGACUGUCCAAGGAGUAAAUCUAAAUUAGCUACCAUGUGAUUUGUAGCCCCAAUAUCUAUAAUCCACUUUUUGGACUUAACAAAUGCAAAGAAAGCACUAAUACCUGUAUUAGAAGUACUAGUUGCAUUUGUUGAAUCUCUUGCAUGUGAACCAGUAUUGUUUUUAUUGAUCAUUCUCGAGAUUUGCUUAUAUUUCUCUUUAAUGAAUGUUGAACUUCUUAUUUACUAAUCUGAGUCAUCAGCAAGUCUGAACCUACUUGAAGUCCUGUAUCAUGAGAUGGAAAAACUUUCCCUGCAUGCUGAUUACAUGAUCCUGAACCAUGCAGUCCAAACUAUGUAUCAAGAGACACAUUAUAAGCUACAUUACUUCCUUUCAUCCUAGACUUUUUCUUGAAUUUGUGAUCAUUCGGAUAACCAACAAUUUUUCAACAAUUGUCUCUGGUAUGCCCAUUUAAUUUGUAGAAAUCACAUUAAAGGUUGUUAUUCUUCUUAAACUGCAUAGUAUUAUUCCCACCAGUUUCAUACCUUGUGUAUAUUGUCAUUUCACAGUUACUUUCAAACAUAACAACAGGACUAGACCCCAAGAUUCCGACAUGAGAUGUUAUAGCCUUAUGACUUUCAUCACUUGUAAUCAUGGCAUAUGUCUGCUUUACGGAAGAAAAAUGAGUCAUGAGUAAAAUUUGGGCUUCUUGCUUAUGUAUAUGACUCAUUUAAACUCAUCAGAAACUGAAAUAGUUUCAAUUUUUGCAUAUGUUACGUAUAUUCCUUGGAUUUGUCACUAGGUGGCACUAAUGCCUCAAAUUCUUCCCACAGAUCUCUCAAUUUUAAGAAAUAGGAUGACACAGAUGCAUUUCCCUGAGAGAGGGUUGCAAUUUCUUUAUGCAAAUUAAAAGUCCUGACAUCAGCUAUCUUGGAAAUCUUUUUUACAAUUCUUCCCAAACAACACUAGUCACGUAUGCAUAUAUGUUCCUCUAAGAAGUUCUUUAGUGACAAAAUUCAUAAUCCAAGACAAAACAAUUACAUUUACCCUCUUCCAGUGACUGACCAAAUUCAUAAUCCAAGACAAGACAAUUGCAUUUACCCUCUUCCAGUGACUUUCCAGGUAAGUAGAAAACUUAUUAUUAGAGCAAGUUCCAUCGAAAAUACCGACUUUAUUCCUUCCUAAUAGGGCUAUACGCAUAGUUCUAAACCAAAUAGAAACAUUCUCAACACUUGGAAAUUGAAAGAAAGUGAUUUGAAUUUCACUUACAUCAAAUGGACUGAAGAAGAGAGGGUAAUUAUAAUCUAAAGUAGUUGAUGAAGAUCUUGUGGAUCCUUAAGUUUCAACACCUAUUUUAUUCACCAUUUUUACAAUUUCUUUCGUAAACUCCAAAUUUUGAACCCAAGAAACAACUUUAACUUAUUUUAGAGAUUAAUAGUUGAAUCUCAUUCAACUACAGAAUCAAAUUUAUUCAGCUAGAGUACUCUAGCAUGUAGACUCUGAUACUAUGUGUUUUGCGAAAAUUUUGACUUUUAAAGAGUAGCCACUUAAUUUUGAAAAAGAAUUAAGAAACCUUUAUAAGAUACUUUAAACGAUCAAAAAUAGAAAAAUCAUUUAAGUUUAAAGAUUCUGAGUAAGCAGUUCCUAUUAACGUUUUAGGAAGGUGUUAGACACCUAAAACGUCUGCUAACUUGUGGUUAUCCGGACUGCUUGAAAACAUUUUUUGAUUACCUUGUACAAAGAUUAAUUUGUUGAAAAGUGGUUGAUUUUGAAAAACGACUUGUGUAAAAUGGAUUUAGGCGACUUAGUAGGGAUUUUAACUAAGUCUAAACAAAACUAAUAAAUAAAUAAACACAUAAAAAGGGGGAAGAGAGGAGAAAGUAAAGGAUUUAGGCCAUUAGGCCCAAGUCAACGAAACAUGUCCUAGUCUAAUUGGGCUUUCGACCUAUUUUGCCUGUCCUAAUCUAGUUUUCGAGCCUUUGGAUCGAGUCUUGCUCCACCUGUAUUAAAUUUACAACUUUGGCUUCGAGGAUCAAAUGAAUGAAUAAAUAAAUAAAUAAAAAACGAUAAUGAAUAUAUAAAUAAAUAAAAAGAUAAAAAGAAACUUUCUAGUCUCUUUGCCGGGACUUUAGCCCAUUCUUAUGUGUUCGACUCUUCAUAACCAUGCGCUAUGUGAUCGGCUUUCAAAGUCUUCUAGAAAGUGGGCCUCGAUGGCUCGUUGCGUAAUGCAAGGAAAAUGAGUCCGAUUGGACUCCCGAGCGAGUUCAUGCAAAAAAAAAAAGAUGAAUGAAUUAAUGUAUGUUCUCGAGAGUUUUUUACACUUAUAGAUAAAUUAUGCAAUAAAAGCACAACAUUUUAGGCGAAAGAGAAUAGUAAUUCACUGGCUACAAAUAGACACGUGACCUAUAAAAAUAUCUAAAUACACGAACCCCAAGAUUAUGAAAAGUGUAUGGCUUACAAACGAGUCAAUUAGUUAACGAAUGUAUUAAUUAUAACACUCCAAACGAAUAAAUCCACACUCUAUAAUCUCUACAUUAUUUCAAGGGAGUGUCAAGCCGGUUAAUUGACCAAAUCUCAAUUACUUUCAAUCACGUAUGGUACCAAUAUAAUCACCAAAAUUUUCAGAAAAAUUUAAACCAGAUUCUCCAACGAAUAUGCGAGGCAAAUCAACGCACUGCCUUUAGUUAGGACACAAAGAAGAAAGCUAUUCAAUGAUGGAAGCUAUUCAAUGAUGAAAAAGACAAUUUUAUGGAUCACCAAGAUCCUGUAUUAUUUCUAUCAAAAGAAAGAUAGGAAUAUUUCAUAACAUGAUACUUACAGACAUUAAAGACUAAAAAAAAAGGAUAAGAGCUUGACGUUAUGCUAGGCUACGAUUUCGAUUACAUGAAUGCCAGCAGUAUAUGAACAACAUCGUAUCUAGAGAGACCCAAAUGACUAUGAAUAAGAGAAAUCAAGAACAUACACUGUGCAAGAUUUCAUCAAGAUACGAUUUUCAAUUCAAGUUGCCAGACAAAAUAUGGUAUAGUCAGUUUUCUAUAGACAUCUUUUUUAUCUUUAUAGAGCGAGACGAAGGGAAAAGAUACAUUUAAAAGUUCAUAUUUCAGCAAAAUACAUAAACACACAGAAAAGCAAACAUUUCAAAAGCUCAUAUUUCAGUAAACUACAUAAACACGCAGAAAAACAAACAUUUAACACAGAACGACGUUGAAAUUACAGGAAUAUCACAACGAAAAUAUCAUCACAAUCAACCUACGGCCUUCAAGGCAUCUAUAGCAAACAAAUCCAGCAACUACGAUUAUAACUAUUAUUACGAGUAACACAAUUAUACAGCUAAAAUACUAAAAGGAGGAUCGACUAGAAGAAGAGAAAAAUAUUUGAAGCUAAAAGAGACGAAGUGUUACCUGUUCCGGAGCAGCAAAACAAGACUCGAGCUUCAUCGAAAUCCACUUAUCACUGAAAAGUGUCGUCGUCAACUCGGGAACUUUGAUUAAUCGAUGAAUUUUAUGAAGCAAAACUUUUAUACUAAGAAAAUGAGAUUUCUUUGCUCAAAGGUUUUUAUCCACCUUCAAGGCUUACCUUCUUUAAGAACCAUCGUUGGCUCUUUAUAGAAUGAAUGAGGGAUUCAAUUUUAAACCCCCACCAAUGUGGAAUUGGUGAAAUCGAGGGGUAAUUUUGAUUUUGUAGAAAGGGGAAUUCGAAUUUUGAAAUUGAGGAUUAGGAUGAGUUGUAUAAAUUGUAUGAAAAUCGUACAAAAUGGUUUGAUGAUGAGUUGUUCAUCAUCGUUGGAAUCCAACGGGUUGCUGAGCUGGACGUUCGCGGGUCACUGGGUUGAGUUCUGAUACGGGUUUUUGUGCGGGUUUCUGGUUCAGGUCAAAGAAAAAGGAGAAUUGGGUGGUGGGUCGCCAUUGAGAUGGUUGUUGUCUCAUUGUUGGUUGAGAGUUGUACGCGUAUGGGAUUAUUUGUAUUGGGUUUGGCUGUUGUUGUUCGGUGUUUGUCGAUGAUGUUGUUGUUAAUGAUUAAGGGGAAAAAAUAAGGGGACUAGGCCGGGUUAUGUUAUGAUGUUGGGCUGGUAAGAAGGGAAUGGGCUGAUUUGGUGCGUUCCAUUAAAACUGGGCCGAAGAAUUAGGGGUUAUUUAAUAACCCUAAUUAAAUCUAAUUGAUUGGGGUUAUUAAAUAACCCUAAUUAAAUUUAAUUGGAUUAAAAUAAUUCCAAUUAGGAAACGGUAAUUUGGGGGAUUAAGAUUGAAUUAUAAUUUAGGCGACUUGUUUAAAUUCUAACCAAAUUGAAUAUCCAUUGGUCAAUUGCAUUACAAUUGGGGCCAAUUUGAUUUCAAUUGAGGUCAUAUUUAAUUAGCUCGCUAAAUUGAAUCGCAAUCCAACACGAAUCAAGUAACAAAUUAACCUCAAGUUUCUUGAUUUGAUAAAAAUCAAACAAAUAUUCCUCCAAAUAGAACAUUUUUAGAACAAAUCAUAUUUAAAAUCAAAACUUUAUCCAUUUGGAUUAAUUUUCAAGUGUAAUCAAUAAAAGUCUAAUUUUAAUAAAGAAUGUUCAUUUAAAUAACAAAAUUUAUACAUUCUCGUAUAAAAAUAUGAAAACGUAUAAUCGUUAAUUAAAUGAUAAAAUUAACUCAAAUAAAUAUUUUAAAUUGCAUUUAUUGAAAUAAAAUAAUUGUUGUGACUUUAUUUAAAAAUUGAAGAAACUCAAAAUUAAAUUGGAUCGUGGAGGGCAAAAAUUAGGUGUCAACACUAUCUAAUUUAAGUGUCAAUGACUUAGAGUUUUAAGAGAUUGAAGAUGAAGAAGUAGAGUAGACAGGAGAGGAAGAAGAACACAGAGAGAAGAGAAUUUCUAUAAGAAUAAUUUUUUAUAUUUCUCAACUGAUAGAAUGUACAUUGAGAAGUCUUUAUCUAGAUAAAAUCAUACUUACUACUUUUAUACUAACAGAUAACAAAUGGCUUAACCGUUAACUACUUUUUCUACCAGUAACUAACUUUUAUACUGUAACUAACUUUUGGACAUUAGCUAACAAACCACAUAGUAGCAAUAAUAUUCUUAAUUAAAGUUGCAUUUGUUUCUAUUAUGAUUCAGAUUUUUUAAUCUGAAUGUACAUCUGAAUGAUAAAGAUGUUGUCUCUAGAUUUGUAAACUAAAUGAUUAAGACUGUUGUUUUCAACAUCCAAAUGAGCAACAUUUAUUUAUUUGUAUAGACAAUAAAAAAUAUAAUUCACAUACAAUAUUAAUUAUAUAUUAAGAAAAUAUUUAAAUUAGUACAAUCAAAUUAUUAUUUGAUUAAAAAAAGUAUGUAUGUUUGCUAGUGAUUUUGGAGAUGGUUUGUAUUGAAGGUAGUGGUGGUAAUGAUUGAUGUUAGUGACUAGUAAUGUUGGUGGUGAUAGUUGUAACAGCAGAGAUGGUUGGUAUCAUAGUGACUGUUAUGACGGUGACGAUUGAUAGCGGUGGUGGUGAUUGUGAUGUGAAAUUGGUUGAUAAUAGUUUUUGGGGGUAUUGAUUGUGAUGGUUGAAAAAUAAAUGUAUGAUGUUUGAUGAUGUGUUGAUGGUAGUUGGAGAUGCUAUUAGUUGUGAUAGUGUAGAUUGUUGUUAAUAUAGAUAGAUUGUAGUGAUAAUAGUGGUUAAAGUGGUGGUAGAGGUGGCGCUACCAGUGACAAUGAUGGUGGUGAUGGUCGAAGAAUGUGUGGAGGUUGAUGAUGUAUAGUGGUAGCUAGCUGUGGCUAGUUGUGACAGAUGAGCUGGUCGGUAAUAGCGAUUGGUCAGUAGUGGUUGAUGAUAGCGGUGGAAUUAGUAUUAGCAUUGGGGUGGCGGUAGCGGUGGAUAUAAUUAGAAUAAUAGAGGUGAUAGGUUUUGUAGCGGCUGACAAUAGUGGUUGGUAGGAAUAUUGAUUGUCAAUGGUGGAUGUGAUGGUGGAAGUGGUUGAUGGUGGUGGGUGGUGGUUGACAAUAGCAGUGGUAGCAGAGGUGGUAGUUGUGGUCGCUGGUGAUUGUGGAUGGAGUGGUGGUGAAUAUUAUUCAACACAAGAAUAAAUCUUAAUGAAAUUAAGACUUGAUUCCAAAUCUAAAUGAUUAAGACUCAUUCAGACUCAUUAAAAGCUACACUCUUAAUAAAAAACAAAUGCAAAUGCACUUAAUGGUCUAAAGUCUGAACCAUUCAGAUUCAGACCUCCAUUAAGUGCAGACAAAUGAGGUGUGUACCAAUAUACUUAAAAGUUUAGUCAACAAUAUUUUAUUUUUUUUUGCCGUUAUAGAAAAUUAAAGAACUAAUGAAAAAUCAUUUGCAAAGUAAGGCUGCAUUUGUUUUUUUAAGAUUAAGACGUCUGAAUCUAAAUGGAUGUUUGAAUGAUUAAGAUGUUGUUUCUAGAUCUGAACACUGAAUGAUUAAGACUGUUUGUUUUUUUAACAUCUGAAUACAUGUAAUUUAUUUAUUUGUAAUAAAUAUGCAAUUCAAAUUUAAAAAGUAAUAAAAUAUUAUAUAAAAAAAUAUUUAGAUAAAGUAUUAACUUAAACAACAAACAUUAUUUGAGUGAUAAUUAAAAUAUUUAAAAAUAUAAAUAAAUAAAUUAUGUUAAAUAUAAUUAUUGAAGUAUCUAAAUUAUUAAAAAAAGAUGUAUCGAUUAAAAAUUAUUGUGAUAAGAUGUAAUUGUAAAAUGAAUUACUACAACAGCGAGAGAGUUUUGAGGUGUAAGUUAUAAUUACUAGAAUAGUUCAAUAUUUUUAAUAACAAAGUGAGAGGACAAUAAAAAUAAAUAGUUGUCAAAUGAGAGAGGAAAAUAAAUAAUUCAAUGCGAGAAUUACUAGUAUUAUAAUCCAUUGCAUUAUAAUUCAUUUGAUAAUAAAUUAAGUUAUUUUAAUUCAUUUUACACGUAUAUAGAGAGAAAAAUAACAAAGUGAGAGAGUUUUGAGGGAAUAUAUCAUGUUUUAAAAGAGUGCGGAACCUAAAUAUGCCACCAUAUUUAAAAAUGAAUCAAUCUAUGCCACUGAUUUAAAAAGUUACAAAUGAGUUAUUUGCAAAAAAUAAGUGCACAAUAUUCUUUCCUCCAUCUUGACACCAUUAAAAUAGGAUAGUGCACUAAAUAAAUGCACUAUCCAUUUUUUUUAUGAAUAGUGCACUAAAUAAGUGCACUAUCCAUUUAUUUUAUGGACAGUGCACUAAAAAAAUACACUAUCAAUUAUUUUUGAUAUAUUACACUUCUUUUGUGCAUUAUUCCCCUUUUUCUAUAGUUUAGUGCAUUUUUUUAGUGCACUAUUCAUAAAAUAAAUGGAUAAUGCGUUAAAAAGUGUACUAUCAAUUAUUUUAAUAUCUUGCACUUCUUUUAUGAGAUGAAAUUUUACGUAUUUUAUUGUGAGAUAAAAUUUCAAUUUUUUGAUAAUAUUGAUAAUACCAAAUUGCAACAUAACGUACAAUGUAAAAAGUUACGUAUUUGUAUGUCAAUGAAUGGUGUAAUUUUUUGUGAGAUGAAAUUUUACAUAUUUUAUUUCGAGAUAACAUCUUACAACUCAUUACAAAUAACGCAUCACACCAAACUUCAAUGAAAAGUUGGUUUGAUAUUAGAAAAAUAAAAAAUGAGAGAAUUUCAAAAAAUUCUGCAAAAGUAUUUGGGUGCUAUACAGAUUUAUCCGGAAAAAAAUGGUAUGAUUGAAUUCGUCCCUUAUAAAAUAAACCCUAAAAAGUUGCAAUUCAAUUUUAUUACUAAUUGUCGUAACUAUCACCAUCUACCUACUCAAAUCAAUUAAAUAGCAUUCUCACCAACUCUUCAGACAAAUCCAAACUAUACCAAUUAAUAUUCUAAGACAAUUUUAACGACUUGUUAAGAACUUAUAAUGCUUUUUAAUAAGUAAAUAAAUAAAUCUUGUAUUGAAAGAACCCGAAUCGAACUUACACAAAAGCAUGUUUUAAAAGUUAAAAUUUCCAUUUAAAGAAUACCUGAAACAGAAAAUGAUAAAAAAUCGCAUUUGUACAUAAUUGGAAAAUCAUGUACAAAAUGCAGAAACUGUAAUAUUUUAAACCGGAAAAAUUGUAAUGUUUAAUGCAUUUCUUUAGAAUAUAUAUGUUAUUUUUUCCUUUUAAUCCUAAAUUAAAACAUAAACCAAAUUAAGUGCACAAUAUUCUUUCCUCCAUCUUGACACCAUUAAAAUAGGAUAGUGCACUAAAUAAAUGCACUAUCCAUUUUUUUUAUGAAUAGUGCACUAAAUAAGUGCACUAUCCAUUUAUUUUAUGGACAGUGCACUAAAAAAAUACACUAUCAAUUAUUUUUGAUAUAUUACACUUCUUUUGUGCAUUAUUCCCCUUUUUCUAUAGUUUAGUGCAUUUUUUUAGUGCACUAUUCAUAAAAUAAAUGGAUAAUGCGUUAAAAAGUGUACUAUCAAUUAUUUUAAUAUCUUGCACUUCUUUUAUGAGAUGAAAUUUUACGUAUUUUAUUGUGAGAUAAAAUUUUAAUUUUUUGAUAAUACCAAAUUGCAACAUAACGUACAAUGUAAAAAGUUACGUAUUUGUAUGUCAAUGAAUGGUGUAAUUUUUUGUGAGAUGAAAUUUUACAUAUUUUAUUUCGAGAUAACAUCUUACAACUCAUUACAAAUAACGCAUCACACCAAACUUCAAUGAAAAGUUGGUUUGAUAUUAGAAAAAUAAAAAAUGAGAGAAUUUCAAAAAAUUCUGCAAAAGUAUUUGGGUGCUAUACAGAUUUAUCCGGAAAAAAAUGGUAUGAUUGAAUUCGUCCCUUAUAAAAUAAACCUAUUUCUAUUUAUCAUGAUUUACAAAUUGUUGAACACAUCAUUGUCGGAGAAACAUACUCCUCUAAAGCUGGUGAUUUUAUUAUUUUGGGGAGAAAUACUUCAGUGGACUCAACUAUAUUCUAAACAGUGUGAUUAUGAGGUGCUAUGUCGAUGGCAUGGUUUGACCGUUCCACAUGCACAGUCCGCGACAUUUCCGAUAUGUAAAUUCAGGGAAGACGCACAAGUUAUUGAACACUUGAAUAAGAAAAUAUCAUAAAUGAAAAAAGCUUCUUCCUGCAUUAGAUGAUCUUAUCUUUCAAGGAGCAGAUGAAGAGGAGCAUUGGAAAGUGCUUUAAAAUCAAAGACUAAAUCGAGAUUCGACCUAUCCAGUAUAUCCAAUUGUUAACGAAUGGAUAGGCCUUCAAAAACAUUUGCCCCAAACAUUAAAUUUUGGAGUGUCAUAUUGUUCUAUAAAUCAAUUGAGUUUAGUUGAACCAACACAACAUGAAUUCGACGUAAUUCCUAAAACUGGCGAAGAAGAUAUGUAAUUUUUUACAUUGUACUUUAUGUUGCAAUUUGGUAUUAUAAAAAGGUUAAACUUUCAUCUCAAAUAAAAUACGCAAAAUUUCAUCUGACGAAAAUUACACCAUUCAUUGACAUACAAAUACGUAACUUUUUCAUUGUAUGUUAUGUUGCAAUUUGGUAUUUUAAAAAAAUUAAAAUUUCAUUUCACAAUAAAAUACGUAAAAUUUCAUCUAACAAAAGAAGUGCAAGAUAUCAAAAUAAUUGAUAGUGUACUUUUUUAAUGCACUAUCUAUUUAUUUUAUGAAUAGUGCACUAAAAAAAUGCACUAAAUUAUAGAGAAAAGAGAAUAAUACACAAAAAAAGUGCAAUAUAUCAAAAAUAAUUGAUAAUGUACUUUUUUAGUGCAUUAUCCAUAAAAUAAAUGAAUAGUGCAUUUAUUUAGUGCACUAUUCAUAAAAAAAAAUAGAUAGUGCACUAAAUAAGUGCACUAUCCAUAUAAAAAAUGGAUAAUGCACGUAUUUAGUGCACUAUCCUAUUUUAACGGUGUCAAAAUGGAAUAGAAUAAAGGAUAUCGUGCUCUUAUUUUGUGCAAAUAAUCCAUUUUUGUAACUUUUAAAAUCAAUGGCAUAGAUUGAUUCCUUUUUAAAUAUGGUCGCAUAUUUAGGUUCCACACUCGUUUUAAAAAGAGUCUGAAUAGUAUUCAAACUUUUUUCCAUAUCUGACUGAUUCAGAGGAUUUCAGACACAUUAAGAUUCAGUUAUAAAAAAAAAAAAUACACUUAAUAAACUAAAGUCUGAACCAUUCAGAUUCAAACCUUUAUUAAGUGCAAACAAAUGAGACCUAAAUAAGGAGUGAAGCCCUCUUUACCUAUUCACUUUUGCAAUUCAAAGAAGAAGUUACGGUUUGGUCCUCAUUUUUAAAAUUAAUUUUUAAAUAUUUGUUUGACGAUAAAAUUUGUAAUUAUAUUUUUUUUAAAUCUGAUCUCCAGAUAUUAGCAAACUUCUUUUAGAAUUUUCACUCAAAAAACUUCACAAGAAAAAAAAUCAAAUCAAAUGCAUAUCCAAACACAAUUUUAAAUUUCAAAAAUCA
rnacentral:lncRNA from 1 species